rnacentral:rRNA from 1 species
AACCACAGCACCCAGGAUUCCCGCGUGUCCCCC